rnacentral:rRNA from 1 species
UACGUAGGGUGCGAGCGUUGUCCGGAAUUAUUGGGCGUAAAGAGCUCGUAGGCGGUGUGUCGCGUCGGUCGUGAAAACUUGGGGCUUAACCCUGAGCUUGCGGUCGAUACGGGCAUCACUGGAGUUCGGCAGGGGAGACUGGAAUUCCUGGUGUAGCGGUGAAAUGCGCAGAUAUCAGGAGGAACACCGGUGGCGAAGGCGGGUCUCUGGGCCGAUACUGACGCUGAGGCGCGAAAGCGUGGGGAGCAAACAGG